rnacentral:sRNA from 1 species
GUCUGGGUCUGGGGUCGCGGCCUGAAGCUGGGGCUGGGACUGGGAUUGGGAUUGGGGUCUGGAGUCCGCCCGGGGCGCCGACCGUCCCCCCUCCCCGCAGCCCGAGCGGGAAGAAGUUCCGCAGCAAGCCGCAGCUGGCGCGCUACCUGGGCGGCUCCAUGGACCUGAGCACUUUCGACUUCCGCACGGGCAAGAUGCUGAUGAGCAAGAUGAACAAGAGCCGCCAGCGCGUGCGCUACGACUCCUCCAACCAGGUCAAGGGCAAGCCCGACCUGAACACGGCGCUGCCCGUGCGCCAGACGGCGUCCAUCUUCAAGCAGCCGGUGACCAAGAUUACCAACCACCCCAGCAACAAGGUCAAGAGCGACCCGCAGAAGGCGGUGGACCAGCCGCGCCAGCUCUUCUGGGAGAAGAAGCUGAGCGGCCUGAACGCCUUCGACAUUGCUGAGGAGCUGGUCAAGACCAUGGACCUCCCCAAGGGCCUGCAGGGGGUGGGACCUGGCUGCACGGAUGAGACGCUGCUGUCGGCCAUCGCCAGCGCCCUGCACACUAGCACCAUGCCCAUCACGGGACAGCUCUCGGCCGCCGUGGAGAAGAACCCUGGCGUGUGGCUCAACACCACGCAGCCCCUGUGCAAAGCCUUCAUGGUGACCGACGAGGACAUCAGCAGGAAGAGCUGGUGCAGCAGGUGCGGAAGCGCCUGGAGGAGGCGCUGAUGGCCGACAUGCUGGCGCACGUGGAGGAGCUGGCCCGUGACGGCGAGGUGCCGCUGGACAAGGCCUGCGCUGAGGACGACGAGGAGGAGGACGAGGAGGAUGAGGAGGAGGAGCCCGACCCAGACCCAGAGAUGGAGCACGUCUAGGGCAGGUGCUGCGGGGCUGUGGGGGCUCCCUGGAGUUGGGUCCCGGCAGUGGGGACUGCCUGGUGAACACACAUGUGGUCGGGAUGACGGGUGCCUCCCAAGAGCUUCCCAUCUCCCUAGAAGAGCCCAGGCUUCCCCGUCCCGUGGAGUCGCUAAAGCCAGCCCUCCCUGUCCUUUCCAGGGGCCCUGCCGAGAGCCUGUGCUGCCCUCUGGAGCCGCCUGCAGACGCGGCCCUCGGCCCCACGUGAACCAGGCUCGGCAGCCGAGGCCAGCCCUGGAGACACCCGGGAGGAAGGCCGUGCUCCUGGCUCCCUCCUCGGCCCGUCCCCACUUCCUGGGGCCUUGGGGCACACAGCUGGGGCUGCCCCCACCUGAAAGACCCUCCACGCUCGUCCUCUACAGGGUCCGGCUUUGGGAAGUGCCGGGUGCUCCUGGGCCCUGCCUGGCUCCCUACGACCUCGGGGCUCGAGGCCAGCUCCUCCCCACGCCCGCUGUCCCAGCUCCUUGAGACUGGAGAGCAGCCAGCAGGUGCCCGGCAGCUCGGCACCAAGGAUUGCUGACAGCUGGGAGGGUGUCUCGGUCUGGAGGCGUAGU